UACGGAGGGUGCAAGCGUUAUCCGGAUUCACUGGGUUUAAAGGGUGCGUAGGCGGACAGGUAAGUCCGUGGUGAAAUCCUGCAGCUUAACUGCAGAACUGCCAUGGAUACUAUCUAUCUUGAAUAUCGUGGAGGUUAGCGGAAUAUGUCAUGUAGCGGUGAAAUGCUUAGAUAUGACAUAGAACACCAAUUGCGAAGGCAGCUUACUACACAGUUAUUGACACUGAGGCACGAAAGCGUGGGGAUCAAACAGG
rnacentral:rRNA from 1 species